UGCGUAGGCGGAAUAUUAAGUCAGUGGUGAAAUCCUGCGGCUCAACCACAGAACUGCCAUUGAUACUGUUAUUCUUGAAUAUAGUUGAGGUAGGCGGAAUGUGUAAUGUAGCGGUGAAAUGCUUAGAUAUUACACAGAACACCGAUUGCGAAGGCAGCUUGCUAAACUAUUAUUGACGCUGAGGCACGAAAGCGUGGGGAGCGAACAGGAUUAGAUACCCUGGUAGUCC
rnacentral:rRNA from 1 species